rnacentral:rRNA from 1 species
AGCUGGUAAAGCAGGGGACGUCUAGCGAAACUGCCACCGUAAGGUGAGAGGAACGUGGGGAUGACGUCAAAUCAGCACGGCCCUUAUGUCCAGGGCUACACACGUGUUACAAUGGCCGGCACAGAGGGCAGCUACCUGGUGGACAGGAUGCUAAUCUCGAAAAACCGGUCUCAGUUCGGAUCGAAGUCUGCAACCCGACUUCGUGAAGCUGGAUUCGCUAGUAAUCGCGCAUCAGCCAUGGCGCGGUGAAUACGUUCCCGGGCCUU